rnacentral:rRNA from 1 species
CCUACGGGCGGCUGCAGUAAGGAAUAUUGGUCAAUGGAGGAAACUCUGAACCAGCCAUCCCGCGUGAAGGAUGAAGGGGCUCUGCCUUGUAAACUUCUUUUGUCUGGGGCGAAAAAGCUCGAUUUAUCGAGAACUGACGGUACCAGAAGAAUAAGCACCGGCUAACUCCGUGCCAGCAGCCGCGGUAAUACGGAGGGUGCAAGCGUCAUCCGGAAUCACUGGGUUUAAGGGGUCCUUAGACGGCAGAGGAGAAAGGGUGUGGCUUAACCAUGGAAUUGCCAGUGAGACUGCAGAGCUUGAAGGAGGUUGAGGUUGGCGGAAUGUGACAUGUAGCGGUGAAAUGCUUAGAUAUGUCAUGGAACACCGAUUGCGAAGGCAGCUGACUGGACCUAUAUUGACGCUGAGGCACGAAAGCGUGGGGAGCGAACAGGAUUAGAUACCCGUGUAGUC